rnacentral:lncRNA from 1 species
UCUGCCCCACAAUUCUAAUCUAGUAGUAAGAGCGUAACACAUAAUGUGUAGGUUAAGCACACGUCCAGUGUUCAAAUCCUGUUGUAGACAAAAGUUGUGCUAUUAAGUGGAGAAGAACAAAGAAGCAUGCUCAUUAUCUACCGAGUUUCGACUUGUGUACCAACAACCCUCCUGGACUCGAGAGAAUGUCUAAAUAAUUAUAAUCUAUAGAACAUCUAAUCCUCAAAUACGACACACAUCACAGGUUCAAAACUGGUUGCAUAAAAGAACUAAAUAGUUAAGUGGAGAAGAGUAAGAAACAUGCUCAUUAACACCGAGACACACUUCUAUCACAUAUAAAACAUUGAAAGUAAGCCCAAAAAGACUAAUUUAAGAAUCAAAAUAACCGAGAAACAUUGAAAGUAAGCCCAAAAAACUGAAAGAUCGAACCAACGGAAUGAAGUGUAUCAAGACCGCCAUUAGAAAUUCCUGGAACCAUUUCAAAUGCACUCCAAGAUGAAUUAUGUGCAUUAGCAAGGUUUUUCCACCUCUCUUCCAUAAAGAGACAGGGAGUAAAAGAUUGCAAUUUUUUAAGAUGAAAAGAUUAAAAAAAUCGAAAACUGAAGUGAUUGAAAGAAAUCUACCUCUUAAAUAACUUGAAAUCAUUUAUUGGAAAGAGAAAAGAUUGAAAUUCAAAAGUAGAUUAAUGAAAGUAAUUGUGGAGAGAUUUGUGGAGUGAAAAAAGGAAAGAAAAUCAUUAAUAGAAGAUUUCAAAUUAAUGUAUCCCAAAAAAGGAUUAAUGAGAGCAAAAAAGGGGAUUUUUGAUAUUUUUGAAUGGUAGGAAAAAUAAGAAAAUAUGAAAAUGAUGUGUAGUUAGAUAAUAUUUCCAAAAAUUAUAAUCAGUUGUCAUGCACCACAUACUUUUAUUUAAUCUGCAUAAACAACAUCCAAUAAUCCAAAAAUAAUAGUAUAAUAAUUAUAGUAGUUACAAAUCUAAAAAAACAUGUGAAAGAGAUGGAUUUGCUACUCACUCCUAUUUUUAAAAUAUCAUCUCAAAAUAUAUUAUUAUUAAAAUAUUUCUUUCGCAAAUACAUUCUUAAAAAAACACUUUAAUUCUUCUCCAAGAAGCCAUAAAUGUAAAACCUUUAUUUUUGUAUUGUUUGAUCUUUAAACAUUUAAUAGGAGUGCUUGCAUAAUUAAUUAAAGGCUAAUUAAAGAGCAAAGACAAACAUAUAAAAUAAUAUUUACACACAAGGUUAUUCAAUUGAAUUCGGAAUUUUUUGAUUUUUUACAUAAAUUAAAAGGACCAUCUCAAUUAUUCGGGACAGUUAUACACUUAAAUAAAAGUCCACGAUUUUGUUGAAACAAUGAUAAAUCGAUUCGAUUCGGGCAAUUUUCAUGUUCUUUUGACACACCUAGUUAAUAUGUCAAAGUGAAAGAAGAGGUCUGCCCCACAACUCUAAUCUAGUAGUAAGGGCGUAACACAUAAUGUGUAGGUUAAAGCACACGUCCAGUGUUCAAAUCCUGCUGUAGACAAAAGCGAGCAAAGAAACAUGCUCAUUAACACCGAGACACACUUAUCAUUAAGUACUCGAAAAUUUUGAAACUAAUGCACUGGCAAUACUGUGCAUCUUCACUGUCUAGAAGAUUGCCAUUGUGGACACCAACAAGUAAAAUCUAACGACGUGGAUGCCCGAACUUGGCCUGUUCAAUGAUCUUUAUACAAUGCUGAACAUCUAAAGUAAACAACACCAGAGACGGACUGUGAUUCUUCAACUUCAUAAACUGCGAGCAACCUUGUCAUACAGAUCGCGAGGCCAAUUCUGAUUCAAAUUGCUUGCAAGGAAGUUUGCAAUCU